rnacentral:tRNA from 1 species
AAAUCAAUAAUUUAAAAAAAAUGUUUUAUUUACAAUAAAAAAAUGAUAAUAAUCUUGAUUUU